rnacentral:rRNA from 1 species
UACGUAGGGGGCUAGCGUUGCUCGGAAUCACUGGGCGUAAAGGGUGCGUAGGCGGGUCUUUAAGUCAGGGGUGAAAUCCUGGAGCUCAACUCCAGAACUGCCUUUGAUACUGGCGACCUUGAGUCCGGGAGAGGUGAGUGGAACUGCGAGUGUAGAGGUGAAAUUCGUAGAUAUUCGCAAGAACACCAGUGGCGAAGGCGGCUCACUGGCCCGGUACUGACGCUGAGGUGCGAAAGCGUGGGGAGCAAACAGG